CCGGAACGCCAGUUUCGGUGGAGUCAUUGUUGAAAUACCACUCUGAUCACUCUGGAUAUCUAACCUCGGUCCGUGAUCCGGAUCAGGGACAGUGCCUGGUGGGUAGUUUAACUGGGGCGGUUGCCUCCCAAAGAGUAACGGAGGCGCCCAAAGGUUCCCUCAGCCUGGUUGGCAAUCAGGUGGCGAGUGCAAGUGUACAAGGGAGCUUGACUGUGAGACUGACAGGUCGAGCAGGGACGAAAGUCGGGACUAGUGACCCGCCGGUGGCAAGUGGAAGCGCCGGCGCUCAACGGAUAAAAGGUACCCCGGGGAUAACAGGCUGAUCCUGCCCAAGAGUCCAUAUCGACGGCAUGGUUUGGCACCUCGAUGUCGGCUCGUCGCAUCCUGGGGCUGGAGUUGGUCCCAAGGGUUGGGCUGUUCGCCCAUUAAAGCGGUACGCGAGCUGGGUUUAGAACGUCGUGAGACAGUUCGGUCCCUAUCCGCUGCGCGCGCAGGAAAUUUGAGAAAGGCUGCCCCUAGUACGAGAGGACCGGGGUGGACCAACCUCUGGUGUGCCAGUUGUUCCGCCAGGAGCACGGCUGGUUGGCUACGUUGGGAAGGGAUAACCGCUGAAAGCAUCUAAGCGGGAAGCCUGUUUCAAGAUGAGAUUUCCACGGGCCUCGCGCCCGGAAGGCCCCCUACAGACCAUGGGGUUGAUAGGCCGGAUGUGGAAGAGAGGACCAAAGACUCUUGAAGCUGACCGGUACUAAUAGGCCGACAACUUGACUUA
rnacentral:rRNA from 1 species